UGGGGAAUUUUGGACAAUGGGGGCAACCCCGAUCCAGCCAUGCCGCGUGAGUGAAGAAGGCCUUCGGGUUGUAAAGCUCUUUCGGCCGGGAAGAAAUCGCAUAGGUUAAUACCCUGUGUGGAUGACGGUACCGGAAUAAGAAGCACCGGCUAACUACGUGCCAGCAGCCGCGGUAAUACGUAGGGUGCGAGCGUUAAUCGGAAUUACUGGGCGUAAAGCGUGCGCAGGCGGUUUCGUAAGACAGAGGUGAAAUCCCCGGGCUCAACCUGGGAACUGCCUUUGUGACUGCGAAGCUAGAGUACGGCAGAGGGGGGUGGAAUUCCACGUGUAGCAGUGAAAUGCGUAGAGAUGUGGAGGAACACCGAUGGCGAAGGCAGCCCCCUGGGCCGAUACUGACGCUCAUGCACGAAAGCGUGGGUAGCAAACAGGAUUAGAUACCCUGGUAGUCCACGCCCUAAACGAUGUCAACUAGGUGUUGGGUGGGUAAAACCAUUUAGUACCGUAGCUAACGCGUGAAGUUGACCGCCUGGGGAGUACGGCCGCAAGGUUA
rnacentral:rRNA from 1 species